UGCUGAACAAUUGAGAUGUAGGUCACCAGAGGAGUAAGAAGUCCUUGGACCUUUCUCCAAUAAGGAAACAGCUGAAAGGCAGGAGAUACAGGCUCACACUGCCACAAGCAGAGUCUCCGCAGAUUGAAGUGUCCAAGACAGCAAGGUCUGCAGGUUGAUUUCUCAUUUGAACAUGUGAGGGCCUGUUGCUGUCUAAGCCACAGUCAGGGUCCGGUGCAUCUGUACGUAUGCAUAGGUACUUACGACCUGAACACCAUAGCCACUGCUCACACAGAUUGGAUCAGCAGUGAGCUGUCAACACAGUGAGGUGCGACUUGGGAAAUUGCACUGAGAAUACUCAGGAAUACUUCCUUCCUGAACACUCUUCUCGACUGAGAAUGCACAAGCAGGAAUCUGCUGACAGCCAUCUUGCCCUUACAUUAAGUCUAAGGUUGAUCUGGUACAGAGCUAAGCAACCCUGAGGUGUUAGAUCCUGGCCAAUCGGUGGAAUCCGAAUCCUUGAACCAAAACAUUCUUGAAGCGAGGUCUGUUCUUAACGUGUCAAUAGAUGUCUAUCAUGUUUGAGUUGGGUUUUCUAUCACUUGUACCAGAAAGAAUAUAUGAUGUAAUAAAUGCAAAUAAUAUUUCAAUGCAGGUUAAUAUGUGGAUGAAAAAAUAGAGAUUAGGGCAAAUCAUCGCUUCCUCAAGAACUUCAUUUAUUUAAGGGAUAAAUAUUCAACACCUCAUUAAUUUGCCAGAACUGUGAUAACAAGCUUCAUAGACUCUGAUA